ACCUGGGUGGCUCAGUCAGUUGAGCAUCUGACUUCGGCUCAGGUCAUGAUCUCGCUGGUUUGUGGGUUCGAGCCCCGCCUCGGGCU
rnacentral:tRNA from 1 species